rnacentral:rRNA from 1 species
UGCCAGCCGCCGCGGUAAUACGGAGGGUGCAAGCGUUGUUCGGAAUUAUUGGGCGUAAAGCGCGUGUAGGCGGUUCGUUAAGUCUGAUGUGAAAGCCCGGGGCUCAACCCCGGAAGUGCAUUGGAAACUGGCGAACUUGAGUACGGGAGAGGAAAGUGGAAUUCCGAGUGUAGGGGUGAAAUCCGUAGAUAUUCGGAGGAACACCAGUUGCGAAGGCGAUCUACUGGACAAAUAUUGACGCUGAGGCUCGAAAGCGUGGGUAGCAAACAGGAUUAGAUA